AGUUAUUGCUGCUUCAUCUCGUCCGGAUUAAUGAUUAAUUUCUGUAAACACAGACUGAGAGUUGUGUUGGACUGAAUCCAGGUGACCAGAGGAGCUCAGCAGGAGGAGCAGGCUUCGACCUGAGCAGCACCAGCUCCGGUGUGAGAGCAGGACGAGGCCGAGGCCAGAGGUUCCUUUGAUAUACGCUCCGAGGUAGAGCAGCGGAAAAAGAGCAGUUCUUCACCAGGAUGACAGAUGGAGAAAAUCUGGCAGAUCUGUGGCUCUGGACGUGUUUUUAUUACUCUCCAAUAUCACAGGACCUCAGAUCAGAGGAAUAAAUCAACAGCAAAGACUCAAACUCUGAUGGAUUUACACUUCAGUACCUUUUCAAUCCCGGGACUCAAAGAGAAACCGUAAAGUUUUAUGAUGUUCAUAAAACUUUGAGAUAAAAACAAGAAGAAACGGAAUAAAAGACACAUGAUUCAUGUGAUAAAUAAUAUGUACACAUAUUCAUAACAGCUGAUUUACCGAUUGGACGCUGAUGUGCAGGAGGAGGUUCUGGCGCCAUCUCCUGUGUUUUAUGCUCAAGGUUCUGAUCCUUAAAAAUAAUGAUUUAAAUCUGUCAUUAAUAACCAUCUGUACAUUUCAACAGUUUAUUAGACUUUUAAUGCCCGUGGUAUAAAACCCAACUGUAAUAAUUUAAUAUGACUCAGUUCUUAAUAAACUCCAUAUUUCCAUA